rnacentral:rRNA from 1 species
GCUUACGGCCAUACCACUCUGAGCACGCCCGAUCUCGUCCGAUCUCGGAAGCCAAGCAGGGUCGGGCUGGUUAGUUACUUGGACGGGAGACCCUCGGGAAUACCAGGUGCUGUAAGCU